GGUUGUUGGUUUUGUUGGGGUUUUUUUGUGGUUUUUUUUUUUUUUGUCCUUCAAAAGUCUUUCAGCACAGCACCAUUGUUACAAUAUUUCCCUGAGGGAUCAGCCUUGGAAUCCCAGUUCUGGCAAGGGUCCCACAGGCUCUAACAAGUGCUCAGCUUGAGUCUGUGUAACUGAUUGAGCCCUUGGUGGAUAAUUAAUAUGGAAAAGGGGAAUAUAUUGCAUCUAAUGGUCUUUUUGCUGAAAAAAAAAAAAUUGCUCCUGUUUCUUAAAGCUGUUCCAUCUGCAUUAAAUUCACCUGAGAAGCUGUUUGUGUGUCAAACAUUUCACAUGAUGUUCUUUAAAUGAUUACAAAUGAUAAUACAUGGUAUUUCGGUAUGUAAUGUUACUAAAAAGUAUGAAAACUCAUACGGAAAUGCUUCAUCGCAUGAAAAUAAUUUUGUUUCUGAUUCUAGUGAUCUGAGUUUUCAUUUUGCUUAAGUCAAGCAAAAAUCUUUUUAAAACACCCACAUAACAAGGAUUCUCCUCCUUCCCUUUACAUUUGUACUCCCUAGACUGGCCAACAUCAGUAAGACUGUCUUUAAAAACCUACAGGCGUGAAUGACUUCAUUCUGAGUUCCACCUAUUUCCCAAAUAUCUGACAGCUGAUGAUGGAUUUGUCACCAGUAGCAGAUGAUAGGGCACAAGAAUUUCAGCAACUGGUCCAACAAAUCACAGGAUUACAGACUCAUUUAAGUUAGAAAAGACCUCUGAGAUCACAGAGUCCAAAAAACAAUGAAGUCGUGCAUCAAAUUUGAUCUGACAACUCAUCACUUCUGCAGGUGAUUCUUCCACAGAAAAUAAAUUUAUCUCUUUUUCACUAGUUCAUAGGUUUCAGAAGAGAUAUCUUUCAACACUUUAUCUUAUCUGAUAUUAAUGGCUCUCAUGCCAGGAAAUCCAAAACUUCUUUUUUUUUAUUUUAACCUGAAAGGUACAUCCCCAGAAAAGGCCACUGAAAUAAUCUGUUGUCAAUACCUAAUAACAUACAGCCCUGUCACACUGUCAAACAGGAAGAGUCUUACUUUUGACCUAGAAGUUUAGUUAACUGGUCUGUCAGGAGAGGCAUCAGGAAAGAAGGCUCCAGCUCCUGAAUGGCUCCUUCUGCCUCUGCCCCAGGGCAGGCUGCUCUGCCCGACCCAGGCUGCUGCAGAGCCAGCAAGGGCACCUGGAGACUCGCUCCUGGCUGGAACCUGGACAAGGGCAUCAGAUGCAGUGAGGCAUUUUGAGGUCUUCCAAUGGGACAUACAGCCUGCUGCAUUUUUUCUUUUGUUGCUGAAACCUAGUCUCUUGGCUGGAAAAGUUUUGAUGCAACAUCUAGUUUCAAAGCUCAGGAUUUUUGUCCUUUCUCUUUGAAAAAUAUGACCACAGAAAUAGCAUAGCAUUGCUUCAGCAUGCACUAGGGUUAAAAAUCUUUUAUCUUAUUUGUUUGCUAUUUUGCUAACGGAUGGAAAAAUCUCAAUACUGUUGACCAGUGACUUCAUAUCAUGAACUAUACACACCCAUUUUUCUUUCUGGAGUCCAGAAAGAAAGUACCAAAGAAAAAAUAUUGACUGACAAUAUGGGGUUAGAUGUUCUGUGUCCAAGAGAAUUAAACAGUCUUGAACAUUUUAUCGUAGAUUUUUAGGAGUCUGCACCAAAAAACGACAAAGACAGCAGACAUGGAUGAUAAGAAACUGUAGAUAUCAGAGGUCAACCUCUGAUAAUAUGUUUAAACCAGUUAAACAUUGUGAAAGGCCAAGUUGAAAUUCCAAGAAUAUAACUCCGACAUUGAAUUAUUUCCAUCUUAAAAAUAAUGGGACAUCUUUGCUUCUAACUACAUACAAAUGCAGGAGUGCAAUUUAUAAAAAAUAUUAUAUGUCAGUUAGCAUUGCAUAAAUCACAACCAUCUCACUUCAGUCAGUUUUAAACCACAAAACCCCCUAAGUCUAUUUUGAAAUAUAAUACCUUGAACUGAGCCAAGCUUAUUGCUAAUGCAUUUAUUAAUAAUCCUGUCUCCCUGCAUAUUUGGGAACGUUCAGUGCCUCAGUGUUCCAGCUGGGUUGCUUCACAUUGACUAGAAAUAUGUCAGAUUGUAUAGUCUGUGAUUGGAUACAAACCUUUCACAUGCAUGUUUUCAUUUGAACCCAGAUAAGGUUCACCCUUUUACAAAAACAAAAUGGAUGUGAUUAGGUACUAUAUAUUUCUAAUUGCUCACCUUGGCUUAGUAUUCACUGGGAGCAACUGAAGUGUCACAUUAAUUUUUGCAGCUGCCUUUGCAACCUUCUACCUGCUUAGUGUAUAACUCUUAGGUGCACUUUUGAAUGUCCAGAAGCAAACAAAUUAACAAAACCCAAAACAAGCAAACAAACAAAAAUUGCAGCUGGCAGCAGAAACUCAGAGAGAUUUUGUACUUCCCAAGUCAGAGGUGGCUCAGUUCAAAUACAUGUGUGACACUGAAGUCAGAAGACCUUCCUAACAGAAAAGCUAUACACACAAAUGUCAAGUAUGUGCUAAUUCUGCUGUGACUCAGAUCAGAGUGGCUCUCCUCCAUAUACUUUAGCCUGACAGCACUUGCCAGUUCAGUUUCCUAAUGAACCCCUUUAUUCAGGGUGGGCGUGCGACAGUUGCAGAAUGUGGCAUGUUAUUUUAGAUUCUGGACAGAUGUGCACAGACCUUCUAAGAGGCCUUCUCCUCCUCACUUCAGUCUGGGUACAUUUGCGUUGCAUUUGUCUCCAUUCUUCUAGUUUUUUCCUAUGCUAAAAAUCUGCUACACUUCUUAGCUAACACCCUCUGCUCACCCUUACUUUUUGGGCCUCAGGCUGUGGCUCUAGAUGCGUCAAGAAAAUCAUCAUGCUCGGUGCUCUUUGCUGUUCCUUGUUGGUGUCAGCAGACUAAGCAGAAGAAAGAGAAAAUUAAGGAAGACACAAAUCAGUUGCUGGUGUGCCUCUGGGACAAAAUCAUCAGAGAUGGACAGGAAUAAGGUGUGCUGAUGGAAACCGUGGGUACGAAGCUCCGAUAAUUGUCCCGGAUUCCUGAGCCCUCCGUCCUUCAGCGGGGCCAAUAAUGAAGACAGAGGAGAGAGAGGCCGUGAUGUGCCUGCCUGCCUGGAAUGCAGCCGGAGCUGAAAGCUGACACCAGCUCGCUGGAAAAGGACUUGCGAGCAAAGGCUGUCUCCAAGACAACAGAGUAUUUUCCCUGUGAUGCAUUUACACAGUGGGGUUAAAGUUCUAUGAAAGCAACAGCUGUUGUAAAAACAUUGUAUUAAAUAUGCUUAGAACUGUAAAA